rnacentral:misc_RNA from 1 species
GGCGAAAGCAAAACAAGAAAUGGCGAAGCCGAUAUCGAUCGAGGUGUGGAAUCCGAGCGGAAAGUAUCGCGUGGUGAGCACCAAGUCCAUGCCCGGCACCCGCUGGAUCCGCCUCCUCGCCGACAACGACUGCCGCCUCGAGAUCUGCACGGAGACGAAGACCAUCCUCUCUGUCGACGACAUCCUCGCCCUCAUUGGCGAUCGCUGCGAUGGUGUCAUCGGCCAGCUGACGGAGGAGUGGGGAGAGGUGCUGUUCUCGGCGCUGAAGCGCGCCGGCGGAACAGCCUUCAGCAACAUGGCCGUCGGGUACAACAACGUCGACGUGGAGGCCGCCAAUAGGAACGGCAUCGCCGUCGGCAACACGCCUGGCGUUCUGACGGAGACGACGGCGGAGCUGGCCGCGUCUCUGUCGCUGGCGGCGGCGCGGAGGAUCGUGGAGGCAGAUCAGUUCAUGAGGGCUGGCCUCUACGACGGAUGGCUCCCGCACCUGUUCGUGGGGAACUUGCUCAAGGGUCAGACUGUGGGAGUCAUCGGAGCUGGUCGAAUCGGCUC